rnacentral:snRNA from 1 species
AUGGCUUCUCAGUCUUUUGGCUAAGAUCAAAUGUAGUUUCUGUUCUUAUCAGUUUAAUAUCUAAUAUGUCCUCUAUCUAAAAUGU